rnacentral:rRNA from 1 species
CAGCCGCCGCGGGAAUACGUAGGGUGCAAGCGUUAAUCGGAAUUACUGGGCGUAAAGCGUGCGCAGGCGGUUUGUUAAGACAGAUGUGAAAUCCCCGGGCUCAACCUGGGAACUGCAUUUGUGACUGGCAAGCUAGAGUGUGGCAGAGGGGGGUGGAAUUCCGCGUGUAGCAGUGAAAUGCGUAGAUAUGCGGAGGAACACCGAUGGCGAAGGCAGCCCCCUGGGCCAACACUGACGCUCAUGCACGAAAGCGUGGGGAGCAAACAGGAUUAGAUACCCCCGUAGUCCCUGUCUCUUAUAC